AGAUCAAAAGCUUUGGUUGAAGCGUGAAAUUUUUAAUUUCAAGAAGAAAAUAUUUCUUGGUCUA
rnacentral:tRNA from 1 species